UUAGAAGCUGAUUGACUACCAUGCACAGCUGCACCAGAUUCUGAGUGCAUCAGUUUUAGUAAAUCAACUCCCAUAGACUUCCAGAGACAGGCUAACCAACCUGCUAGAGGUUAUAGCAGAAGUGUAUUGGGGAAAAAAAGCAUACAAGAAUGCAACAUUGAUGCUGCGGUAAAUGUUGACUGUGUUUCUAGUACCCAUGAGAUCAUCCAAGGAGGGAUUUAUUUGAUACUGCUCACCACAAGAGGGAUUAGCCCAUGUUAACAUCCAAACAGGAUCUUUGCAGGCAAGAAGAUAGUUUUAUACACAAUUAUGAAAGUGGAUAUUUUGUUGCUGUGGAAACUUCCAAGAGAGUGCUAAGACAAUCCGGAAAGAGGGGAGGAGACGCAUGGAGGACACAGGAGCCACUAUCUGACCCGCUGCAAGGUCCCACUGCUCGCCGCCGUCACUCGCAUGCCUGACCCACCACGA